GACGAACGCUGGCGGCGUGCCUAAUACAUGCAAGUAGAACGCUGAAGGAGGAGCUUGCUCUUCUGGAUGAGUUGCGAACGGGUGAGUAACGCGUAGGUAACCUGCCUGGUAGCGGGGGAUAACUAUUGGAAACGAUAGCUAAUACCGCAUAAGAGUAGAUGUUGCAUGACAUUUACUUAAAAGGUGCAAUUGCAUCACUACCAGAUGGACCUGCGUUGUAUUAGCUAGUUGGUGGGGUAACGGCUUACCAAGGCGACGAUACAUAGCCGACCUGAGAGGGUGAUCGGCCACACUGGGACUGAGACACGGCCCAGACUCCUACGGGAGGCAGCAGUAGGGAAUCUUCGGCAAUGGACGGAAGUCUGACCGAGCAACGCCGCGUGAGUGAAGAAGGUUUUCGGAUCGUAAAGCUCUGUUGUAAGAGAAGAACUAGUGUGAGAGUGGAAAGUUCACACUGUGACGGUAUCUUACCAGAAAGGGACGGCUAACUACGUG
rnacentral:rRNA from 1 species